rnacentral:misc_RNA from 1 species
AAGUCGUAACAAGGUAACCGUAGGUGAACCUGCGGUUGGAUCAUUAAUGAAUGAAACCAAAGGUUGUUCUGUCCUUUUCUCACUCGGAAAAGGCUGGGCAAUUCCUUUGACACCCCCCCCCUUGUGAAUUUUAAUUGUUUCUAGCUCGGUAAAGGAAACUGAACCGGGCUAUAUAACCAAAAAAAACAUACACCGUAAUUAUUUUUAUUAUCAAAGUCUCCGAGCGAUUCUUUUUAUUCGAGAAACGCGUUUUUUUUAUAAAGAAAAAACAACUUUUGACAACGGAUCUCUUGGCUCUG